GUUAGGAUUACACUCUAACUGCGAUCGAACAAAGCAAAACAAUGAGUCACCGGCCGCAAGACGUAAGCCGAGAAAAGUCUAGAUCGAAAUACGUGGAAUCGACGCGCGGUUGUUGGAAGGUCACACGAUAGUCAGAGAGCUGGCUUAGCCUGGAAUGAUCGAGAAGUACGGCUAGAGUAUAUAAGGAUACGAAUUUUGUAAAUAGAGUUAGUUGAUAAUAUAAAUUUGAUCUGUAACUUGUAUAAAUAAAUGUAUAAACGAACCGAGAGUAUUAUUUUAACAGUAAUCUCGUUAUGUUGGUGUUAACGGU
rnacentral:lncRNA from 1 species